rnacentral:rRNA from 1 species
CAGUCGCCGCGGGAAUACGAAGGGGGCUAGCGUUGCUCGGAAUGACUGGGCGUAAAGGGCGCGUAGGCGGUUCGUACAGUUGGAUGUGAAAUCCCCGGGCUUAACCUGGGAACUGCAUCUUAUACUGGGUAACUGGAGUGCAAUAGAGGGUAGUGGAAUUUCCGGUGUAGCGGUGAAAUGCGUAGAUAUCGGAAGGAACACCAGUGGCGAAGGCGGCUACCUGGAUUGACACUGACACUGAGGCGCGAGAGCGUGGGGAGCAAACAGGAUUAGAGACCCCAGUAGUCCCUGUCUCUUAUAA